UGGCGAACUUCGGUUGAUUUUCAUUUCGGAAUUUCACGUUAAUUUUUUGUUCAUCAAAAAUUUAGAAAAAAAAAUAUUAACAAAACAAUUUUAAUAAUUAAGUAUUUGACUGUGGUAAUUAAGCAAUAAACAACCAAGCGGUGUCGGUGGUGUGGUGGAACUUUUAUUUUGAUAGAAUGUGAAAUUUUUCUUUUCUUGGAUGAACUGGAAAGAAAUAGAUGUGAAAUGAUGAAUAUCAGAAAAGAAGAAUUGUAAAAUAAUGUGAACGAACCUCUCCAAGUAUGUGUGUAAAGGAAAAGUGAAGAAAAAAAAGCACAAAAAGGCAAAAAUAUAUGGAGGCCAACAGAACCGAAGAAAUAAAACUAAAAAGUUUUUUAUUCCUUAUAUUCAAAAGAAAAAAGAUUGUGGACAUACAUUAUCCGCUUAUAAAGAUUUGAAUUUUAGAUUUCUGCGUUUAUGCUGAAUAAUGUAAUUUCUUCCAUUAUGUCAGCUACUGUUAUAUCAAUAUAACUUUUCCAAAGAGCAUUUGUUGCAUAUGAUUUCUUAUAAAGAUCUUGUCUGCCUACUACUCAGCUAUAAGAAAUGGAAAUUUAACAACAAUUAAUAAUAACAUAAUUUAAAAAAAAAUCCAAGUAAAAAGAAGUUUACGAUAACAAAGAUGUUUUUCGUUUUAAUUCCAACACAAGCGAAGACUCAAGUGGAAACUUGAAAAAAAAAGUAAAAAAA